rnacentral:misc_RNA from 1 species
UCAAAACAGCGGACUUCGGUCUUUGCUGCACCCUUGUCUUUUGCGCACCGAAUUGUUUCCUCGGCGGCUUGCCUGCCGGUUGGACAUUAUCAAAACCUUUUUGUAGUUGCAAUCAGCGUCAGAAAAUCAUAAUUAUUA